rnacentral:lncRNA from 1 species
GACGGUCCAACCGUCGUUAAAUUAUGGAUAAACGUGACAAGUUUAAAUAUUUUUUUAAAUGUUACCGAUACUUUACCCAUAGAUAAUACCCACAGUCUAUAGCCGUCAAUAAUUACUGACACCUAGACCUUUAAUAAUAUAACACAUUACAAAGAAAUCAAUAAUAAAACUUAAAAAACUAAUUAAAAAUGUUUUGGAAAAAAAAUAAAUAUUAUUUA